UACAGGGGGGGCAAGCGUUGUUCGGAAUUACUGGGCGUAAAGGGCCAGUAGGCGGCCAACUAAGUCAGACGUGAAAUCCCUCAGCUUAACUGGGGAACUGCGUCUGAUACUGGAUGGCUUGAGUUUGGGAGAGGGAUGCGGAAUUCCAGGUGUAGCGGUGAAAUGCGUAGAUAUCUGGAGGAACACCGGUGGCGAAGGCGGCAUCCUGGACCAACACUGACACUGAGGAGCGAAAGCCAGGGGAGCAAACGGG
rnacentral:rRNA from 1 species